ACCAGACUCCUACGGGAGGCAGCAGUGGGGGAUAUUGCACAAUGGGGGGAACCCUGAUGCAGCGACGCCGCGUGGGUGAAGAAGCGCCUCGGCGCGUAAAGCCCUGUCAGCAGGGAAGAAAAUGACGGUACCUGAAGAAGAAGCCCCGGCUAACUCCGUGCCAGCAGCCGCGGUAAUACGGAGGAUGCGAGCGUUAUCCGGAUUUACUGGGUGUAAAGGGGGCGCAGACGGCAGCGCAAGCCAGGAGUGAAAGCCCGGGGCCCAACCCCGGGACUGCUCUUGGAACUGCGCGGCUGGAGUGCAGGAGGGGCAGGCGGAAUUCCUGGGGUAGCGGUGAAAUGCGUAGAUAUCAGGAGGAACACCGGUGGCGAGGGCGGCCUGCUGGACUGCGACUGACGUUGAGGCCCGAAAGCGUGGGGAGCAAACAGGAUUAGAUACCCUCGUAU
rnacentral:rRNA from 1 species